UAAACAUCCUCUCUCCUUCCUUUCUUUUCUCCCCUCUCUCUCUCUUACCUCCUCUCCCUCUCCCUUAUUUUCUCCUGCAUUUCGAUAUCAUUAUGCACUAAUGUCUGAUGACACUAUUUAUGUGUGUGUGUAUAUAUAUUUGCUAAUUGUUAUAAAUUUAUUAGAUAAAAGAUUUUUCUUUUUUUCUUUUUGAUAGAGGAGGAAAUUAUAACAUUUUUUUAUUUUAUUAUUGAGGGUAGUUAGGAAGUGAGAAUAAGUGAAUUUCAAUUAUGAAAUUAUACCAAACAUGAAUUAUAUAUUUAAUUGAAUUCUCCAUUUUAUGUUAUGUCAUACCAAACAAUGAAAUUCAUUUUCAAAUGAAUUUUAGCUAUAAUUCAUUUGAAAUGAAUGUUAGGUUUGCAAUUGAUUUGAAUCAAACACUAUGUUAUCAAAUGCAUAAAUAAUUCAAAAUCAUGAUAUAUUUGGGUAAGAUAUUACCCCUACUUUCUGCAAAAUGUUCCUCAUGUAUGAUGACUAAAGAAGAAAGGAUAGGUAGAAGCUUGGAACUGAACAGCAACACUAAAAUAAAGAAAAGAAAUGAGCUAAAGAUUAGUUAGGGUGAGCUGAGGUGUCUCAAAGGGUAGUUAGGGGUUAUAUCUACUUCUAGAAGCAAUUAUUCUGUUAGAGAAUAGUAAAUGAUUGCAACAAAGCUGAUUAGCUACUUAACUGUAGCUAAAUCCGGAGAGUUGAGGUAGUUAUUCAGCUGCUAACUACACUAUAAAUAGAGGAGUAGUCUUGUAUUGAAACCAUUCCAGAAUUAUCUCAAUAACAUCUCUCAUUCUUUCUGAUUUCUCUCUAAAUUCUCUCUUUCAGUCUCUAUUCUCUCUUUCCACUCUCAAGUUCUUUCUAUAUCUUCUAUUUCCCUAUUUCUGCAUUGUUAGGGAUUCAAUUCCUAACAUUUGGCAUCAAAGCACUAAUUUCAAGUGGGCAAGGGUUGCAAUCCAAUUCUUCAGUCACAAGAUGGCAAGAUCUAUGAUCAUUAACUAAGAAGCAGUUAAGCUAGCUCAACUGGAGGAGCAGCUGAGGAUUUUGCAAAGUGAAUCUCGUGACGUCAGGAAGAAUUAUAAAGUACUAAGAGGUUAAUUCAAAGAAGUCAGGGAAAAAAUAAAGCAAGAUGCAGCUGAUUCUAAGAAAGCAUUUGUGGAAGAGCUGAGAUCCCUGAUGACAAGGAUUCUUGGUGAGACAAUUGGGCAAAAGGGAAAACAGGUGAAUCCAUGAAUAUUGGAAAAUGAGAAGCGUACCAGCAAGGGAAAUUCACCUACUGUUUGUGAGAAAGAAACUAGCACCAGCUAAGGAGGGAUGGUCAGAUCAUCACUUUGCAAGGUAUGGGAGAUUAUGUGGGUACUUCAACUUUCAAAAACUUGCGAAGAUUAUUAUACUUUCAGUCCUAUGAUUCCACUGCAACCAGAGGUAGGUGUUUUUUAAUUGAUAAGUACAAAUGUAUCUUUGAAGAGCCUAAGACUGCUCCUCAGUUUAUAGAGUAGUUACAAGUUGAAUAACUUCCUCCACCCUCCAAAUCUAGCCUAAGUGGCUAACCAGAUUUGUUACAAUUAGUUACUAUUCCGUAACAGAAUAUCGGCUUCUAGAAGUAGUUAUACUUCCAAAUACCCUUUGAGAAAUCUCAGUGAUAGGAAUGACAUGGGGCCAAUACCAUUUAAAGAGUAUUUCAGAAUGCAUAGGAAAAAGAGUAGAGGAAAUUCGUUGCUGAUAAAUGGGAUGAUGCAUGUGAACACAUGGGAUGACACAGGUGACUCUAGCCAUGAUGUUGCUCCUUUUCCUUUAUGCUUUCUGGAAUACACCUUAAAACGUCUUGGACCAUUUAAUUCCUAUCACUAAGCUCACCUAACUAAUCCUCAGCCCAUUUCUGUCCUUUAUCAUGCUGUUGUUGCUGCUCAAUUCCAGCUUCUGCAUAUACUUUUUUUUCUUGUUGCUCAAUUCCAGCUUCUGCCUAUAA